rnacentral:rRNA from 1 species
CCUACGGGGGGCUGCAGUGGGGAAUAUUGGGCAAUGGAGGCAACUCUGACCCAGCAACGCCGCGUGAAUGAUGAAGGUCUUCGGAUUGUAAAGUUCUGUGAUGCGGGAUCAACACAAUGACGGUACCCCACUAGCAAGCCACGGCUAACUUCGUGCAGGCCUCCCCGGUAAUACGUAGGUGGCAAGCGUUAUCCGGUGUGACUGGUCGCAAGGGUUGCGUAGGUGGUAUAGUAAGUUGGCGCUGUAAUUCCUGGGCUCAACGGGGGCGCUACCACCAAAACUAUUAUACUAGAGUGCAGGUGCGGUGAGUGGAAUGCGUAGUGUAGCGGUGGAAUGCGUAGAUAUUA